rnacentral:rRNA from 1 species
GACGAACGCUGGCGGCGUGCUUAACACAUGCAAGUCGAACGGAAAGGCCCCCUUGUGGGGUACUCGAGUGGCGAACGGGUGAGUAACACGUGAGUAACCUACCCUUGACUUUGGGAUAACUUCAGGAAACUGGGGCUAAUACCGGAUAGGAGCUCCUGCUGCAUGGUGGGAGUUGGAAAGUUUCGGCGGUUGGGGAUGGACUCGCGGCUUAUCAGCUUGUUGGUGGGGUAGUGGCUCACCAAGGCUUUGACGGGUAGCCGGCCUGAGAGGGUGACCGGCCACAUUGGGACUGAGAUACGGCCCAGACUCCUACGGGAGGCAGCAGUGGGGAAUAUUGCACAAUGGGCGGAAGCCUGAUGCAGCAACGCCGCGUGCGGGAUGACGGCCUUCGGGUUGUAAACCGCUUUCGCCUGUGACGAAGCGUGAGUGACGGUAAUGGGUAAAGAAGCACCGGCUAACUACGUG